UUCGUUGACAACGAACUUCACAAGUGUGUUCAACCAUUAUUAAGGCAUUGUUUCCAACUGACACGAAACAAUUCAGUUGACUCGUUUCGCUUUUCUGUGGGUUGAAAUUGCACCAGGAUUGUUCUUCACAAUUGUUAUCGGCGCGAAUAUAAUUGCCGAAGAUUUCCAAAGUGGCGCACUAAGAAGGAAGGUGGUUGUUGUUAAGAAUGGAAACGCCCUUGGAUGUACUGUCAAGAGCUGCGUCGUUAGUGUAUGCGGAUGAUGAGAAACGACAAUGACCCAACACACCUCCAGGCUGUGUAAGGACUGUUUGACCAAGAAGGAGAGUGAGGGAGUGCUGCAUCAGAUGACCUGGCCUCCACAAUCCCCCAACCUCAUCCAAAUGGAGAUGGUUUGGAAUAAGUUGGACCGCAAUGAAGGAAAAGCAGCCAACAAGUGCUCAACAUAUGUGGGAACUCCCUCAAGACUGUUAGAAACCCAU